GACGAACGCUGGCGGCGUGCUUAACACAUGCAAGUCGAACGGAAAGGCCCUGCUUUUGUGGGGUGCUCGAGUGGCGAACGGGUGAGUAACACGUGAGUAACCUGCCCUUGACUUUGGGAUAACUUCAGGAAACUGGGGCUAAUACCGGAUAGGAGCUCCUGCUGCAUGGUGGGGGUUGGAAAGUUUCGGCGGUUGGGGAUGGACUCGCGGCUUAUCAGCUUGUUGGUGGGGUAGUGGCUUACCAAGGCUUUGACGGGUAGCCGGCCUGAGAGGGUGACCGGCCUCAUUGGGCCUGAGAUACGGCCCAGACUCCUACGGGAGGCAGCAGUGGGGAAUAUUGCACAAUGGGCGGAAGCCUGAUGCAGCAGCGCCGCGUGCGGGAUGACGGCCUUCGGGUUGUAAACCGCUUUCGCCUGUGACGAAGCGUGAGUGGCGGUAAUGGGUAAAGAAGCACCGGCUAACUACGUG
rnacentral:rRNA from 1 species